rnacentral:rRNA from 1 species
CCAAUAGCGUAUAUUAAAGUUGUUGCAGUUAAAAAGCUCGUAGUUGAAUUUCAGGCCUGGCUGGACGGUCCGCCCUUCGGGCGAGUACUGUCUGUGGUCGGGUCCUACCUUCUGGCGAAGCGUCAUGGCCUUAACCGGCCGUGGCGGGGAACCAGGACUUUUACUGUGAAAAAAUUAGAGUGUUCAAAGCAGGCAAAUCGCUUGGAUACAUUAGCAUGGAAUAAUGGAAUAGGACAAUGGUUCUAUUUGUUGGUUUCUAGGACCGUUGUAAUGAUUAAUAGGGAUAGUUGGGGGCAUUAGUAUUCAAUUGUCAGAGGUGAAAUUCUUGGAUUUAUUGAAGACUAACUACUGCGAAAGCAUUUGCCAAGGAUGUUUUCAUUAAUCAAGAACGAAAGUUAGGGGAUCGAAGACGAUCAGAUACCGUCGUAGUCUUAACCAUAAACUAUGCCGACUAGGAAUCGGGCGAUGUUGAAAAAAUGACGCGCUCGGCACCUCAUG